UAUUGAAAUUACAUGAAAUGGUGCACCUAAGGGAAUGUUUAUGUUUCAGGAAAAAAAAAAAAUUGGACUGGAUUGAAAUGCAGCAUGAAUCAUAAGAGAAGUUUAGAAGCACAUGAAGAUGAAUGGGUCCCCAGUGACUCAACAGAGAACAUCUGCAGGAAGACGAAUUACUUUACCUGAACGGAAAUUGGGCUGCUUCAUUGGCUUUGGAUGAUGCCAUCCAAGUUGGCUGAGAGGAAAAGCAGAAGCUCAAAUUCCUCCAAGUGUGAUAAAGUAAAUCUCUGGUGGAGCAGGUCACAAUUUGAAGCUUUUCUGUGUAAUUAUUAGAGACUGAAAACUUCAUUAAAAAGAAAAAGUCAAGAUUAUUCUAUGAUCCUAAGAAUCUCAAUGCAAGGACAUCGGGUAAACAAUAAAGUAUUCUGAAACUUUCUGUAGAAUCUUAAA
rnacentral:lncRNA from 1 species